rnacentral:rRNA from 1 species
ACGGAAGGCAGCAGUGGGGAAUAUUGGGCAAUGGGCGCAAGCCUGACCCAGCAACGCCGUGUGAAGGAAGAAGGUCUUCGGAUUGUAAACUUUUGUCUUAUGGGACGAUAAUGACGGUACCAUAGGAGGAAGUCACGACUAACUACGUGCCAGCAGUCGCGGUAAUACGUAGGUGACAAGCGUUAUCCGGAAUUAUUGGGUGUAAAGGGUGCGUAGGCGGGCUGUAAAGUCAGAUGUGAAAUACCGGGGCUCAACCCCGGAGCUGCAUUUGAAACUUACGGUCUUGAGUGAAGUAGAGGUAAGCGGAAUUCCCAGUGUAGCGGUGAAAUGCGUAGAUAUUGGGAGGAACACCAGUGGCGAAGGCGGCUUACUGGACGAUUACUGACGCUGAGGCUCGAAAGCGUGGGGAGCAAACAGGAUUAGAUACCCUGGUA